rnacentral:siRNA from 1 species
AAUGAGUCGCCAAACAUCACCG